GAAUGCCAUGAGGUAUCUGAUGCUCAGUCUAAUCGAUGGCUGUGCUUCUCGUUAGAGUGGCAGAUAAGGAGGCGAACAGGUCUUGCGACACUGGUUGCUCUUCUUUCCAUGAGCUUCCUGUUACUUUUACCCUGCUUACAUCU